rnacentral:rRNA from 1 species
CGCUAGUAAUCGCGGAUCAGAAUGCCGCGGUGAAUACGUUCCCGGGUCUUGUACACACCGCCCGUCACACCAUGGGAGUCGGAAAUGCCCGAAGUCUGUGACCCAACCAUUAAGGAGGGAGCAGCCGAAGGCAGGUCGGAUGACUGGGGUGAAGUCGUAACAAGGUAAC